UGGUUACUCAAGAAAAGAAUUUUAGUUCUGUCUUAAAAAAAUUUAAGCACUUAAAGCAUUUUUAAGAAUUAUUCAAUUAGGGUACAGCCUAAUUGAAAUAGGAUACAACCUAAACUUCAGGAUAAUGAUUAAACCUAAAAAAGUUAAAGGCCCAGUCGGCUUAAAAGCAGCCAUCUAUUAAAAAGCGUCAAAGCUUGACCUUAUAUCUACUUUUAUCUAAUUAAUUUUUCAAAAUCCGAUAUUACUACUGAGUUAUUCUAUAUUGUUAUAGAAGUAUUAAUGUUAGGACUAGUAACAUAGAAUUAUUUCUCUUUCAUAUAAGUAAAAAUCAGUUCGAAUACUUCACUGAUAAAUACCCAGAUCUGAAUACAAAGUAGCUUUGGAAUCCCCAUGAAAAUACUACUUUUUUUUCUGUUAAUCUAACACGAGAAUAUGCAAGAAAGAUUUUAAGACUAAGAAGGAACUCGGCAAACCCGUAGUCUCGCCUGUUUACCAAAAACAUCGCCUUUUGAAAAUUAUAAAAGGUAACGCCUGCCCAGUGACAUUGUUUAACGGCCGCGGUAUUCUGACCGUGCGAAGGUAGCGUAAUCACUUGUCUCUUAAAUAGAGACCUGUAUGAAUGGCAUCACGAAGACUUAACUGUCUCCCUAGUCCUAUCAGUGAAACUGAUCUUCCCGUGCAAAAGCGGGAAUAAAGCC
rnacentral:rRNA from 1 species